CCUACGGGAGGCAGCAGUGAGGAAUAUUGGUCAAUGGGCGCGAGCCUGAACCAGCCAAGUAGCGUGAAGGAUGACUGCCCUACGGGUUGUAAACUUCUUUUAUAAAGGAAUAAAGUGAGGCACGUGUGCCUUUUUGUAUGUACUUUAUGAAUAAGGAUCGGCUAACUCCGUGCCAGCAACCGCGGUAAUACGGAGGGUCCGAGCGUUAUCCGGAUUUAUUGGGUUUAAAGGGAGCGUAGAUGGGAUGUUAAGUCAGUUGUGAAGGCUUCGGGCUCAACCGUAAAAUUGCAAUUGAUACUGGCAGCCUUGAGUACAUGUGAGGUAGGCGGAAUUCCUGGUGUAGCGGUGAAAUGCUUAGAUAUCACGAAGAACACCGAUUGCGAAGGCAGCCUACUAAACUGCCACUGACAUUGAUGCUCGAAAGUGUGGGUAUCAAACAGGAUUAGAUACCCGUGUAGUC
rnacentral:rRNA from 1 species